rnacentral:rRNA from 1 species
GAUGAACGCUGGCGGCGUGCCUAAUACAUGCAAGUAGAACGCUGAAGGAGGAGCUUGCUCUUCUGGAUGAGUUGCGAACGGGUGAGUAACGCGUAGGUAACCUGCCUGGUAGCGGGGGAUAACUAUUGGAAACGAUAGCUAAUACCGCAUGACAACAGUUAUUGCAUGAUAACUGUUUAAAAGGGGCAACUGCUCCACUACCAGAUGGACCUGCGUUGUGUUAGCUAGUUGGUGAGGUAACGGCUCACCAAGGCGACGAUACAUAGCCGACCUGAGAGGGUGAUCGGCCACACUGGGACUGAGACACGGCCCAGACUCCUACGGGAGGCAGCAGUAGGGAAUCUUCGGCAAUGGACGGAAGUCUGACCGAGCAACGCCGCGUGAGUGAAGAAGGUUUUCGGAUCGUAAAGCUCUGUUGUAAGAGAAGAACGAGUGUGAGAGUGGAAAGUUCACACUGUGACGGUAUCUUACCAGAAAGGGACGGCUAACUACGUG